rnacentral:rRNA from 1 species
GUGCCAGCCGCCGCGGUAAUACGUAGGGUGCAGGCGUUAAUCGGAAUUACUGGGCGUAAAGCGUGCGCAGGCGGUUUGCUAAGACAGGUGUGAAAUCCCCGGGCUUAACCUGGGAACUGCGCUUGUAACUGGCAAGCUAGAGUGUGGCAGAGGGGGGUGGAAUUCCACGUGUAGCAGUGAAAUGCGUAGAGAUGUGGAGGAACACCGAUGGCGAAGGCAGCCCCCUGGGCUAACACUGACGCUCAUGCACGAAAGCGUGGGGAGCAAACAGGAUUAGAUACCCCUGUAGUCC